rnacentral:misc_RNA from 1 species
AAAGAAUUAGGAGUUUGUGAUCAAUUGAUUGAGGCUUGUGAUAAUUUGGGUUGGAAAAACCCUUCUAAGAUACAAGCUGAAGCUAUGCCUCAUGCCUUUGAAGGCAAAGACCUAAUUGGUCUGGCACAAACGGGUUCUGGAAAGACGGGAGCUUUUGCAAUUCCUAUACUGCAAUCCUUAUUAGAUUCUCCGCAUGCCUUUUUUGCCUGUGUUCUCUCUCCAACAAGAGAGCUCGCCAUUCAAAUUGCUGAACAGUUUGAAGCUUUAGGAUCCGGUAUUGGAGUAAAAUGUGCAGUGCUG